rnacentral:rRNA from 1 species
UACGUAGGGUGCGAGCGUUGUCCGGAAUUACUGGGCGUAAAGAGCUCGUAGGUGGUUUGUCGCGUUGUUCGUGAAAACUCACAGCUUAACUGUGGGCGUGCGGGCGAUACGGGCAGACUGGAGUACUGCAGGGGAGACUGGAAUUCCUGGUGUAGCGGUGAAAUGCGCAGAUAUCAGGAGGAACACCGAUGGCGAAGGCAGGUCUCUGGGCCAUAACUGACGCUGAGAAGCGAAAGCAUGGGGAGCGAACAGG